AGAGUUUGAUCCUGGCUCAGAACGUACGCUGGCGGCACGCCUAACACAUGCAAGUCGAACGAAGUAGCAAUACUUAGUGGCAGACGGGUGAGUAACAUGUAGGUAUCUACCCUUUGGCCUGGAAUAACACGAGGAAACUUGUGCUAAUACCAGAUACGUCUUUACGGAGAAAGCUUUAUGCACCAUUGGAUGAGCCUGCACUUGAUUAGUUUGUUGGUAGGGUAAUGGCCUACCAAGACUUUGAUCAAUAGCUGAUUUGAGAGGAUGAUCAGCCACAUUGGGACUGAGACACGGCCCAAACUCCUACGGGAGGCAGCAGUGGGGAAUCUUGCACAAUGGAGGAAACUCUGAUGCAGCGAUGCCGCGUGAGUGAAGAAGGCCUUUGGGUUGUAAAGCUCUUUCGUCGGGGAAGAAAAUGACUGUACCCGAAUAAGAAGGUCCGGCUAACUUCGUGCCAGCAGCCGCGGUAAUACGAAGGGACCUAGCGUAGUUCGGAAUUACUGGGCUUAAAGAGUUCGUAGGUGGUUGAAAAAGUUGGUGGUGAAAUCCCAGAGCUUAACUCUGGAACUGCCAUCAAAACUUUUCAGCUAGAGUUUGAUAGAGGAAAGCAGAAUUUCUAGUGUAGAGGUGAAAUUCGUAGAUAUUAGAAAGAAUACCAAUUGCGAAGGCAGCUUUCUGGAUCAUUACUGACACUGAGGAACGAAAGCAUGGGUAGCGAAGAGGAUUAGAUACCCUCGUAGUCCAUGCCGUAAACGAUGUGUGUUAGACGUUGGAAAUUUAUUUUCAGUGUCGCAGCGAAAGCGAUAAACACACCGCCUGGGGAGUACGACCGCAAGGUUAAAACUCAAAUGAAUUGACGGGGACCCGCACAAGUAGUGGAGCAUGUGGUUUAAUUCGAAGAUACGCGCAGAACCUUACCAACACUUGACAUGUUCGUCGCGACUUUAAGAGAUUAAAGUUUUCGGUUCGGCCGGACGAAACACAGGUGCUGCAUGGCUGUCGUCAGCUCGUGUCGUGAGAUGUUGGGUUAAGUCCCGCAACGAGCGCAACCCUCACUUUUAGUUGCCAUCAUUAAGUUGGGCACUCUGAAAGAACUGCCAGUGAUAAGCUGGAGGAAGGUGGGGAUGACGUCAAGUCCUCAUGGCCCUUACGUGUUGGGCUACACACGUGCUACAAUGGUAUCUACAACAGGAAGCAAGACGGCGACGUUAAGCAAAUCCUUAAAAGAUACCUCAGUUCGGAUUGCACUCUGCAACUCGAGUGUAUGAAGCUGGAAUUACUAGUAAUCGUGGAUCAGCGUGCCACGGUGAAUGCGUUCCCGGGUCUUGUACACACCGCCCG
rnacentral:rRNA from 1 species